CUUGGUGUUGUGUUCUGUGUGUUUUGUUGUGUGUGUGGUGUUGUGUUCUGUGUUGUGUGUGUUCUGUGUGUUGUGUUGUGUGUGUGGUGUUGUGUGUUUUGUUGCGUGUGUGGUGUUGUGUUUUGUGUUGUGUGUGUUUUUGUGUUCUGUGUGUGGUGUUGUGUUUUGUGUUGUGUGCGUGGUGUGGUGUUGUGUUCUGUGUGUUCUCUUUUGUGUGUUGUGUGUGUUGUGUGCGUGGUGUGGUGUUGUGUUCUGUGGUGGUGUGUUCUGUGUGGUGUUGUGUUCUGUGGGUGGUGUUGUGUGUGUUCUGUGUGGUGUUGUGUUCUGUGUUGUGUGUGUGGUGUUGUGUUCUGUGUGUUGUGGUCUGUGUGUGUUCUGUGUGUUGUGUGUGUGGUGUUGUGUGUGUUUUGUUGCGUGUGUGUUGUUGUGUUCUGUGUGUGGUGUGGUGUUGUGUGUGUGUGGUGUUGUGUUCUGUGUGUGGUGUUGUGUUCUGUGUGGUGUUGUGUUUUGUGUGUGUAUGUUGUGUUGUGUGUGUGGUGUGUUCUGUGUGUUGUUGUGUUCUGUGUGUGUGGUGUUCUGUGUGUUGUGUUUUGUGUUGUGUGUGUGUAUGUGUGUUGUUGUGUUCUGUGUUGUGUGUGUGUUCUGUGUUGUGUGUGUGGUGUUGUGUUCUGUGUGUGCGUGUGUGUGUGGUGGUGUGUUCUGUGUGUUGUGUGUGUGGUGUUGUGUUCUGUGUGUGUGUGUGGUGUGUUUUGUGUGUAUGUGGUGUGUUCUGUGUGUUGUUGUGUUCUGUGUGUGUGGUGUUGUGUUUUGUGUGUGUGGUGUUGUGAUCUGUGGUGUUGUGUGUGUGGGGUUGUGUUGUGUGUGUGUGGGGGUGUGAUCUGUGGUGUUGUGUGUGGGGUGUUGUGUUUUGUGUGUGUGGUGUUGUGUUCUGUGGUGUUGUGUGCGUGGUGUUGUGUUUUGUGUGUGUGGUGUUGUGUUUUGUGUGUGUGGUGUUGUGAUCUGUGGUGUUGUGUGUGUGGUGUUGUGUUUUGUGUGUGUGUGUGUGUGCGUGUGUGCAUUGUGUGGUGUUCUGUGUUGUGUUCUGUGUGGUGUUGUGGUCUCUGUGUUGUGUGUGUGGUGUGGUGUUGUGUGUGUGUUCUGUGUGGUGCUGUGUUCUGUGUGGUGUUGUGUUGUGUGUGGUGUUGUGUUUUGUGUGUUGUUGUGUUGUGUGUGUGGUGUUGUGUGUGUGGUGUGGUGUUGUGUUCUGUGUUGUGUGUGUGUUGUGUUGUGUGGUGGUGGUGUGUUCUGUGUGUUGUGUUGUGUUGUGUGUGGUGUUGUGUUCUGUGCUGUGUGUGUGUGUGUGGUGUGUUCUGUGUGUUGUGUUGUGUUCUCUGUGUGCGUGGUGUUGUGUUUUGUGUUGUGUGUGUUGUGUUCUGUGUUGUGUUGUGUUGUGUGUGUGUGUGUGUGGUGUUGUGUUCUGUGGUGUUGUGUGUGUUGUUGUGUCUGUGUGGUGUUCUGUGUGUGUGUGUAUUUGUGAGUGUUGUGCUCUGUGUUGUGUUUGUGUUGUGUUGUAUGUGUGGUGUUGUGUUCUGUAUUGUUUGUGGUGUUGUGUUCUGUUCUGUGUGUAUGGUGUUAUGUUGUGUUCUCUGUGUUGUGUUGUGUGUGUGGUGUUAUGUUCUGUGUGGUGUUGUGUUCUGUGUGUUGUGUUCUGUGUGUUUUCUUUGUGGUGUUGUGUGUUCUGUGUGUGUGUGUGGUGUUGUGUUCUGUGUGUUUUGUUUGCGUGUGUGGUGGUGGUGUUUUGUGUUGUGUGUGGUGUUGUGUGUGUGUGUGUGUUGUGUUCUGUGGUGUUGUGUGUGUGGUGUUGUGUUCUGUGGUGUUGUCUGUGUGGUGUUGUGUUCUGUGUAUUGUGUUGUGUGUGUGGUGUUGUGUUUUAUGUGUGUGGUGUUGUGUUCUGUGGUGUUGUGUGUGUUCUGUGUGGUGUUGUGUGUGUGGUGUUGUGUUCUGUGUGUUGUGUUGUGUGUGUGUGGUGUUGUGUUCUGUGUUGUGUUUUAUGUGUGUGGUGUUGUGUUCUGUGUUGUGUGUGUUCUGUGUGUUGUGUUGUGUUUUAUGUGUGUGGUGUUGUGUUCUGUUGUGUGUGUGGUGUUGUGUUCUGUGUGUUUUGUUGCGUGUGUGGUGUUUUGUGUGUGUGUUGUUGUGUGUGUGGUGUUGUGUGUGUUGUGUUGUGUGUGUGGUGUUGUGUUCUGUGUGUUCUUUGUGUUGUGUUUUGUGUGUGGUGUUGUGUUCUGUGGUGUUGUGUGUGUGGUGUUGUGUUUUGUGUGUGGUGUUGUGUUCUGUGGUGUUGUGUGUGGUGUUGUGUUCUGUGUGUGGUGUUGUGUGUGUGGUGUUGUGUUCUGUGUGUGGGGUUGUGUUUUGUGUGGUGUUGUGUUUUGUGUGUGGUGUUGUGUUCUGUGGUGUUGUGUGUGUUCUGUGUGGUGUUGUGUUCUGUGUGUGUGUGGUGUUGUGUUCUGUUGUGUGUGUGUGUUCUGUGUGGUGUUGUGUUCUGUGUGUGGUGUUGUGUUUUAUGUGUGUGGUGUUGUGUUCUGUGUGUUGUGUUCAGUGUGUGUGUUGUUGUGUUCUGUGUUGUGUGUGUGGUGUUGUGUGUGUGUUGUUGUGUUCUGUGUUGUGUGUGGUGUUGUGUUGUGUUCCAUGUGGUGUUGUGUUCUGUGUUGUGGUGUUCUGUGUGUGUCUUGUGUUCUGUGUGGUGUUAUGUUCUGUUGUGUUUUGUAG
ensembl:lncRNA